AGAAUAGGGACAGUCAAGGGACUUCAGAUUUGUGCAAGAGAUAAUACAGCACUUCUAUCAAUACAUCUCGAACUCGGCUAUUCCAGUUGUUCCGGAACAUCACCUGACAACAUGAUACUGAGCUGUGUGGUCCUGAUGGCCAUACUAUGCAUCAGAUCUAUAUGUGACCUAGUAG